rnacentral:tRNA from 1 species
AGACAGGUGCUUGAGCGGUCGAAAAGGUACGCCUGGAACGCGUAUGUAGUGAAAACUACCGAGGGUUCGAAUCCCUUCUUGUCUGCCA